UUGACAUACCAUUGACAGGCACAGAGAUGUGCUCUCCUUCGGGCAAUGGAUACAGGUGGUGCAUGGUUGUCGUCAGCUCGUGCCGUGAGGUGUGGGUUAAGUCCCGCAACGAGCGCAACCCUCAUUGUUAGUUACUACCAUUCAGUUGAGGACUCUAAUGAGACUGCCAACGACAAGUUGGAGGAAGGUGGGGAUGACGUCAAAUCAUCAUGCCCUUUAUGACCUGGGCUACAAACGUACUACAAUGGCCAAUACAAAGAGAUGCGAAGCGGUGACGUGGAGCGAACCUCAGAAAGUUGGUCUCAGUUCAGAUUGAAGUCUGCAACUCGACUUCAUGAAGGCGGAAUCGCUAGUAAUCGCGGGUCAGCAGACCGCGGUGAAUACGUUCCCGGGUUUU
rnacentral:rRNA from 1 species